rnacentral:rRNA from 1 species
GACGAACGCUGGCGGCGUGCUUAACACAUGCAAGUCGAACGGAAAGGCCUCCUUCGGGGGGUACUCGAGUGGCGAACGGGUGAGUAACACGUGAGUAACCUGCCCUUGACUUUGGGAUAACUUCAGGAAACUGGGGCUAAUACCGGAUAGGAGCUCCUGCUGCAUGGUGGGGGUUGGAAAGUUUCGGCGGUUGGGGAUGGACUCGCGGCUUAUCAGCUUGUUGGUGGGGUAGUGGCUUACCAAGGCUUUGACGGGUAGCCGGCCUGAGAGGGUGACCGGCCACAUUGGGACUGAGAUACGGCCCAGACUCCUACGGGAGGCAGCAGUGGGGAAUAUUGCACAAUGGGUGGAAGCCUGAUGCAGCAACGCCGUGUGCGGGAUGACGGCCUUCGGGUUGGAAACCGCUUUCGCUCAUGACGAAGCUUUGUGUGACGGUAGUGGGUAAAGAAGCACCGGCUAACUACGUG